UACGGGGGGGCAAGCGUUGUUCGGAAUUACUGGGCGUAAAGGGCUCGUAGGCGGCCAACUAAGUCAGACGUGAAAUCCCUCGGCUUAACCGGGGAACUGCGUCUGAUACUGGAUGGCUUGAGUUUGGGAGAGGGAUGGCGGAAUUCCAGGUGUAGCGGUGAAAUGCGCAGGAUAUCGGGAGGAACACCAGUAGCGAAGGCGGCACUCUGGGCCGUG
rnacentral:rRNA from 1 species